AGUGUAGACGGUCUGGUAAGUCAGAUGUGAAAGCCCGGGGCUCAACCCCGGGACUGCAUUUGAAACUAUCAGACUAGAGUGCAGGAGAGGUAAGUGGAAUUCCUAGUGUAGCGGUGAAAUGCGUAGAUAUUAGGAGGAACACCAGUGGCGAAGGCGGCUUACUGGACUGUAACUGACGUUGAGGCUCGAAAGCGUGGGGAGCAAACA
rnacentral:rRNA from 1 species